GUGUUCGCUUCAGCAGCACAUAUACUAAAAUUGGAACGAUACAGAGAAGAUUAGCAUGGCCUCUGCACAAGGACAGCAUGCAAAUUCAUGAAGCAUUCCAUAUUUUU
rnacentral:snRNA from 1 species